CUUUAUUAAUUAUAAAUUUAAUUUAKACUAAAUAUAAAAAUAUAUUUUUAAAAAAAAAAGACGACAAGRCCCUAUUAAAUUUAACUUAUGUUAAGCUGGGGAAGCUUAUUAAAUAAAAUUUUAAUUUUAAAUAAAAAAAAAUCUAAUAAAAUUAAAUUAAACAAAUUACUAUAGGGAUAACAGCGUUAUUUUAUUUAAAAGUUCAUAUUUAAAAUAAAGAUUGCGACCUCGAUGUUGAAUUAUAUUUCUAUGAUAAUGCAACAAUUACAUUAGUAGGUCUGUUCGACCUUUAAAAUAUUACAUGAUUUGAGUUCAAACCGGUGUAAACCAGGUUGGUUUCUAUCUUUUGAUAUUAUUUUUCUAGUACGAAAGGACAAAAAAAUAUUUAUUAUAAAUUUAUUUAGCAAAAUAUAUGCAUUAGAUUUAGAAUCUAAAAAAAAGUUAUAC
rnacentral:rRNA from 1 species